UACAGAGGUGGCGAGCGUUGUUCGGAUUUACUGGGCGUAAAGGGCGCGUAGGCGGCUCGGUGUGUCGGAUGUGAAAUCCCACUGCUCAACGGUGGAACGCCAUUCGAAACUACCGGGCUAGAGUGCAGGAAAGGAGAGCGGAAUACUCGGUGUAGCGGUGAAAUGCGUUGAUAUCGAGUAGAACACCAGUGGCGAAGGCGGCUCUCUGGAAUGCUACUGACGCUGAGGCACGAAAGCGUGGGGAG
rnacentral:rRNA from 1 species